CCAAUAGCGUAUAUUAAAGUUGUUGCAGUUAAAAAGCUCGUAGUUGAAUUUCGGGAUUAGUACGUUGGUCGUGCCUUAGGUACGUACUGGUGUUACUGGUUCCUACCUUCUGACGAACCAUCAUGUCAUUAAUUUGGUGUGGCGGGGAAUCAGGACUGUUACUUUGAAAAAAUUAGAGUGUUUAAAGCAGGCUCGCGCUUGAAUACAUUAGCAUGGAAUAAUGAAAUAGGACGUUGACCCUAUUUUGUUGGUUUCUAGGAUUGACGUAAUGAUUAAUAGGGAUAGUUGGGGGCAUUAGUAUUCAAUUGUCAGAGGUGAAAUUCUUGGAUUUAUUGAAGACUAACUACUGCGAAAGCAUUUGCCAAGGAUGUCUUCAUUAAUCAAGAACGAAAGUUAGGGGAUCGAAGACGAUCAGAUACCGUCGUAGUCUUAACCAUAAACUAUGCCGACUAGGGAUCGGAUGAUGUUAAUUUUUUAAUGACUCAUUCGGCGCCUUACG
rnacentral:rRNA from 1 species